UCCUCCUCAGCCUCAGCUCUU
rnacentral:misc_RNA from 1 species